rnacentral:lncRNA from 1 species
UAGAAGGAGAGAGAGACGUAGCACUCAUGGGUUUCACCCAUAGUUAGUUAAUUCGGAUUCGGCAAAAAUUCGGUACGGAUAUAAUUCGGAUAAAAUUCGUUUUCUAAUUUUUAAAUUCGUUAAAAAAUACGGCUAAAAAACGGAUUCAGUAAUUAUUCGGAUACAUGAUUUAUACGGAUAUUAUACGUUCUUCAAUUAAAAAUUCGGGAUAAAAAAUUCGGCUAUUAAAUUAAAAUUAUUUUUUCUCAAGAUUUAUUCUAUUAGUAUAAAUACUCAUAUUUCUUAAGAAUAUAAGAAUAAAAAACUACAAAAUUAAGCUAAUUAAGUAAAAAAUUUGAAAAGAGUUUUUUUUUCUGUUUUUGGAGGAGGUUUUUUUUUUUUCUGUUUUGGGCUAGCCGGCCCGCGAGGCCCGCGAGCCGCGAGCCG